rnacentral:lncRNA from 1 species
CGCCGCUAAAGCUCUAUUUCCCUGUAGUGAACCCUGAAUCCUCAAAUCCUCUAAAAUUUUCCCCAAUUUGAUAUCCUUAAAUCGGUUUCCCAAAAUCCCCAAAUCAAAAUACCUUUGAUUUUCGCUGAAGUCCCUUUGAUUUGCUCUGCUAAAAAUAUCAGUAGUUUUCCCAUAACCCUUAACCUCGAUCUAUUUACCAAAAUAUUUUUUCUGUGAAUCUUCUUUGUAUCUUGCAUUCGCAAAUAUUAGGAAAAGAGGUGCCCCCGAGGACAUAGUUGAGAAAAAUGUUGAAAUGAGACAAAAGAGGAUGAUAAAGAAUAGGUAAUCUGCAGCACGUUCACGAGCAAAGAAGCAUGUUGGCUUUUUUUUGUUAUUUAUCUCUAAAAUUUGGUAAUUAAUCAAUAGCAUUUGCAUUUUCAGGGGAUUCGGAAGAUACCCAAAUUGAGAUUUGUUGGGUUUUUAUUGAAUCUAGUUUGAUAUAAUUGAUAUUUUUUGAGUUUCAUACUUAGGGUUGUUUGAUUCUGCCAUAAAAACUCUCACUUACGCACGUCAUUUAGUGCUAUAUACUCUCCACAACAUUGUUCUUUCUUGUGGGGUUUUUCCAAGAACCAAAAUUAAACUAUAUUUUAUGACUAAUCCCUAAUAACUAUAACAACAUAGUGACUAGAAUGAUGCUUAAUGAUACUAUUUAGUUAAUCAUUUUUUUAUUUUAUUUGAGGUUUUUAUUGCAUUUAUGCCUAUAUACAUGUAGCUUCUGUCCUAAUUAAAACAUUGUUUGGUUUUUAAUUAGAAGCUUUUCCUCAUUUGUGUUCCUAUUUGGAUAUAUAAUUAUAGAUUUUUUUUCAUUCAUAUUGUGUUUUCUUGUGCAGAUUGAAUGGGUGGUUUAUACAUUUACUUUGGAUAACAAUUUUUUAUUUCUUUCAGGAUUUGAUUGGGUUAGAUGGUGAGGAUCUUGCUCAAUUCAAGCCUUCUGCCAACCAGAAGUAUGUAUUUAUGGUUUUUUUUUAUAUAUUAAUCCCAUUACUAUAAUGAUUUCAGACUAGUUAUAUAUAUAAUCAUGAUAUACCUAAAUGCAGUAGCAAUAUUAAAACUUACAUAUUUUUAUAUGUAAUGUUGCGGAAGCGACGAUAAUAUUAAUAACAAUAUUAUCAGAAAUAUUUAGAUAAUUAUUAUGCCAACAAUUAUACUAAGAAAAUUCCCAGUUAAAUUGGAGGGGUCACAAAUGGUCCCGCUUAAAACCCAACAACUAGACAGAACUCACUUAGAUAUUUAUAGCAAUAAUAACUAAAUAAAUAUAACCAACAUAAAGCUAUUAAAUAUAAGCAAACAAAUAAGAAAUAAAAUACCAGAGAUUUAACGAGGUUCGGCCAAUUUAGCUUACGUCCUCGGACACUACCAAAUUAAUAUUUCUUCUAGAAAUAUUACAAAGGAGAAGAUUUUGGGAUGAUACAACCAAAGGGGGAGGGGUUCUAUAUAUAACAAACCAAACCCCCUCCCUUUCUAUCUUUUCCUAAUGUGGGAUAUUGUCAAUAUUCAACAAAUCUCCACCUUGGCGAUAUUCCACAUCUUCGAACAUCUUCUCAUAACACUAACUUCAAUAGUGUCUUCAAAUUUGCAACCAAUCGCCUUAUUCCCUUUUGGUAGUUGUGCCAGCUUCCACGUCUUAUUUUUCUCUAGAGAUUGCAUUUCCUCUUCCAUUGCACCUAACCAUCUAUUAUUCUCUAAACUCUGAAUGGCUUUGGUGUAAGUAGAUGGAAUAUUAUCAACAACUGGAAGUGCAUAAGCUACCAUGUCAGUGAAACGAGCAGGUUUUCUGAAUUUCUCGUCUCUGCCUUCUGACUGCAAUUGGCUCUGAUUGCUGUUGAGGUUCUUGGGUAGAAACCUCUUCCUCAUCUGACUCUGCAUCUGCCAAUGAAGAAUCACUAGUGGUACCUUCUGCUGGAAUUACCACACUCUGCUCAAACUCCACCUGCUGCGGAGUACAUUCCACCUGCUGCGAAGUACUACUCACUCCUUCUGGAUUUACCUUAUUCAACAUGGCAGAUUCAUGAAAGGUAACAUCCCUACUGAUUAUCGUCUUCUUUGCCUCUAGACACCACAAACGAUAUCCCUUAACACCAGCAUUGAAGCCCAUGAAUAGAGCCUUCUUUGCUCUUGGAUCUAACUUUGAUUCUUUCACAUGAUAAUAUGCAAUAGAACCAAAAAUGCGCAAGGUGUCAUAAUCAGUAGCAGGUUUUCCAUACCAUUUCUCCAAAGGAGUCUAGCCAUUUAUAGCAGAUGAUGGCAAAUGAUUGAUGAGAUGUUGAGCGUACGUCACAGCCUCAGUCCAAAACUUUCUAUCUAAUCCAGCAUUAGAUAACAUACAUUGAACUUUCUCCACAAGCGUUCGAUUCAUACGCUCUGCCACCCCAUUCUGUUGCGGUGUUCCACCUACGGUGAAGUGCCUUACUAUGCCACAAUCUUGGCAUAUCUUCAGGAAUGGAUCGCUUUUAUAUUCUCCACCGUUGUCUGAUCGGAGAACCUUAAUCUUCCUUCCUGUCUGAUUUUCAACUUUAGUUUUCCACUUAAGGAAAACUUCAAGCACCUCAUCUUUGUUCUUCAUAGGAAACACCCAAACUCGUCUGGAAAAAUCAUCAAUAAAGGUGACAAAAUAACGUCUUCCUCCAAGUGAUGGAGUCUUAGACGGUCCCCAUACAUCAGAAUGCACAUAAUCCAGAAUACCUUUAGUAUUGUGAAUCCCAGUGCCAAAUUUCACCCUUCGUUGUUUUCCCAGAACACAAUGCUCGCAAAAUUCAAGUUUGCAAGUCUUUGUACCUUUCAAUAAUCCUUGCUUGGCUAGAGUUUGCAAGGAUUUUUCACCAGCAUGGCCCAAACGCAUAUGCCACAGCUGUGUUGCCUCAGCGUCCUUCUUGGUACUCGAAAUUGCUGCUGCUGUUGUCCCGACCACUGUACUACCUUGGUAGUAAUACAGAUUGUUCUUUCUUAUGCCUUUCAACAUCACCAAUGCUCCUAAAGUUGCUUUAAGAACUCCAUCUCGUAUUGUCACAACUAGGCCUUUAGAUUCUAACGACCCCAAAGAGAUGAGAUUCUUCUUCAACUUUGGGACAUAUCGUACAUCCCGCAAAAUUCUAGUAGAUCCAUCAUGACUCCUCAGUUUAAUUGAACCUAUCCCGGCUAUUUUACAUGUGUUAUCAUUACCCAUGUAAACAACCCCUUCAUCUAGUUUUUGAAAUUCAAAGAACCAUUCCCGAAUGGGACACAUAUGAUAGGAACAACCAGAAUCCAUGAUCCACUCAUCUGCAUAUAAUGUUGAAGAUGUCAUACUAAGAGAAAAGUCUGACUCUGCUUCACUAUGGCAUUCUGCAACAUUUGCAUCUUGCGGAGUCUUCCCUUUUUUCUUCAAUUUUGGACAAUCUUUCUUCCAAUGUCCUUUUUCUUUGCAAAAGGAGCAUUCAUCUUUGGCAACAGCUCGACCUUUGGACUUUCUUCUCUUCCCAUUAGACUGACUUUGCUGACGACCUCUUGUUACCAAUGCUUCCACUGCUGCUUCACCUGAACCUUUCAACUUAUCCUUUCGGCGUAGUUCAUAGCUAUACAAUGCAGCAGUAACUUCAUUGAAAGUUACUUCCGAUUUUCCAUGAAGUAGAGUAGUUUCAAGGUACUCAAACUCCUCAGGAAGCGAUCCUAACAACAUUAACGCCAAGUCUUCGUCUUCAAAAGUCACAUCCAAAUUCAACAAAUCAGCCACCAGCUGAUUAAAAUUGGUAAUGUGCUCGUUCAUCAUGGUACCAGGAACAUAAUUGAAACGAAACAGUCUUUUCUUCAUAUGCAACUUAUUUUGACUGUUCUUCUUCAAGAAUUUCUCCUCCAAUGCUUUCCACAAUUUACUUGCAGAAGUCUCUUUACUGAAUGUAUACUUCUGCUCUCUGGAAAGACAUGAUCGAAUUGUACCACAUGCCAAUCGGUUGAUGGUCUUCCAUUCUUUAUCAUCAACCCCUUCUGGUUUUUCUUCCUCAAUGGCAAUAUCUAGACCCUGUUGAAAGAGGGCAUCUAGAAGCUCACUUUGCCACAUGCCGAAAUGACCUGUUCCAUCAAAAAUUUCCACUACAAAUCUCGUAUUUGCAGUUCCAAUCCUCGGCAAAAUGUACGAAGUGGAAGUUGUUGAUAUGGAUGGUUUUUCUUCUGUCAUUUUUGCCAUAGCUUCUACUUAAUAGCCACCAAAUGCAGAAUACCCACAAGCUUUAGGAAAUGUUUCUGAUGUGUAAGAUCAGACUAAGCUGCAAACACAGAGCAUACUACAAAACCUUGGCUCUGAUACCAAUUGUGCGGAAGCGACGAUAAUAUUAAUAACAAUAUUAUCAGAAAUAUUUAGAUAAUUAUUAUGCCAACAAUUAUACUAAGAAAAUUCCCAGUUAAAUUGGAGGGGUCACAAAUGGUCCCGCUUAAAACCCAACAACUAGACAGAACUCACUUAGAUAUUUAUAGCAAUAAUAACUAAAUAAAUAUAACCAACAUAAAGCUAUUAAAUAUAAGCAAACAAAUAAGAAAUAAAAUACCAGAGAUUUAACGAGGUUCGACCAAUUUAGCUUACGUCCUCGGACACUACCAAAUUAAUAUUUCUUCUAGAAAUAUUAUAAAGGAGAAGAUUUUGGGAUGAUACAACCAAAGGGGGAGGGGUUCUAUAUAUAACAAACCAAACCCCCUCCCUUUCUAUCUUUUCCUAAUGUGGGAUAUUGUCAAUAUUCAACAUGUAAUUCAUGAUUCUUGUUCAUAAUCUAAUUUCAGAUUGGAAAAUGAAAGUGCGGCGACCUAACUGAUUUGUUAAUUUGUAGUGCUAUUUCCGUACAAUGAACUUUAAACUGGAAAAGCUUAUAUUUUUUGUUAAAUAAUGUUCUGUAUAAUAUCAUUUUCUCUUUUGUUAAAUAAUGUUAAAUAAUGUUCUGUACAUUAUCUUUUCUAAUAGUUUUAGUUUCCUAGAACAUUUGGGUGCUGCAAUUGACUUGAGUAGUUUUUCUACACAUUUGGGUACUGCAACAGGAUAUUGGGAUACAUUUUUAAUUCAUGUUUUGCCAGUGUACUUGGUCAUUACAGUAUGCCAUUGAAGCAUACAUUUAUGGAUACAUACAAACUUUAUUUAUGCAUGUAGUGCUUUUCUGUAUCUAGAUGUAUGUAUACAAAUAUCAAUGCAUAUAAAAAAAUAAAUCCAUAAUAGAUUUAACUCUCAAUUGAAUGAAAUAUUGAUUAUAAUAAGCAUGAAACCAAUUCCUAUGGUGGACAGCUUCAAGAAAAAAUGAGAGCAUGAUUAACAUUUUAAGUAUAAAUCAGAAUUAAGUACAUAUCUUCCCUAAAAUAGCAUUAAUGCCUAUUUAUCCUUAAAAAUACCAUUGUGUUGGGCCCUUUCAUCUGAUAUGUAGCAUGGAUGAGUUUUACAUUUAUUAAGUUUUCUAUGAUAAUGUUUUUUUUUUCUUUGCAACUACUUAUUUAUUACCUUUCUUGUUGACUUGCAAGGCUGAUAUUGUCAUAGACAAAUUUCAUUCAUCAAUAUAUAUGUUUUGAGUAUGCAUCAAGAUGUAUAAUUGUCUGAAUUAAAAUUGUUGUACUCAGCAACAAAUUUGUUAAUAAUUUCAAUGUUUAGAUUCACGGGAUUGACUGUUUACGUUUCUUAAACAGGUACACGUCCAUGUAGAUUCACAUUUUUCUCCCAAUGACCAAUGUUGUUUCGGAUUGGAAGAACUGUAUGAAAGAAAUCAGUUAAAUUGUUGUUGUUAAUGAGAAGUGAGUAAAUGGAUGUUUGAAAUAUCUUUGUAUGGUGGAUUGAAUGCUACUGUAUAUUGUUGCUCAUUACCCUAAACCCUAAACCCAACUUAAACCUUAAACCCUAAACCCUAAACCUUUUAUUUAAUAAAUGGUUGUUGUUGUUUAAAUGCUGUAAAUUGAAGUGUUUAAAUGUUGUAAAUUUAAGUGUUUAAAUAUUGCAAUUUGAAGUGUUUAGUUGCUGCAAAAUUGAGAUGUUUUAUUGCUGUAAUUGAGGUGUAUAAAUUUUGUUAAUUGAGAUGUUAAAGUGCUGCAAAUUGAAGUGUUUAAAUGCUGUAAAUUGAAUUGCUUAAAUGUUGUAAAUUGAAGUGUUUAAGUACUGCAAAUUGAAGUGUUUAGUUGCUGAAAAUUGAGAUGUUUUAUCGCUACAAUUGAGGUGUAUAAAUCUUGUUAAUUGAGAUGUUAAAGUACAUCAAAUUGAAGUGUUUAAAUGCUGUAAAUUGAAGUGUUAAAGUGCUGCAAAUUGAAGUGUUAAAGUGCUGUAAAUUGAAGUGUUUAAAUGUUGUAAAUUGAAGUGCUUAAAUGUUGUAAAUUGAACUGUUUUAAGUACUGCAAAUUGAAGUGUUUAGUUGCUGGAAAUUGAGAUGUUUUAUCACUGUAAUUGAGGUGUAUAAAUGUUGUUAAUUGAGAUGUUAAAGUGAUGCAAAUUGAAGUGUUUAAAUGCUGUAAAUUGAAGUGUUAAAGUACUGCAAAUUGAAGUGUUUGAAUGUUAUAAAUUGAAGUGUUUAAAUGUUGUAAAUUGAAGUGUUUAAGUACUGCAAAUUGAAGUGUUUAGUUGUUGGAAAUUGAGAUGUUUUAUCGCUGUAAUUGAGGAGUAUAAAUGUUGUUAAUUGAGAUGUUAAAGUGCUGCAAAUUGAAGUGUUAAAAGUGCUACAAAUUGGAGUGUUUAAAUGUUGUAAAUUGAAGUUUUUAAGUACUGCAAAUUGAAUAGUUUAGUUGCUGAAAUUUAGUUUAUGUGCCAUGUUAUGAUUGUGUUUUAAAAUUUAACUUGUUUUAGUUCCUUACAUUCUUACAGGAUUCACAUUCAAGGAGUAAGAAACAUCGUAGCAACUCAUUGGGAUUGAACAGUCAGAAUUCAGAAUCAAGCGACACGCAAGAGCUAUAUUUGGAGCUUAGACUGUCACUGUAAUCAGUAAAUUUUUUCUGCCACUUUAAAUGCAUGCUCAUGGAACUGCAUUUUAUGCUUUCCUAGAAUUGUAAGUUCAAAUAAGGUGUUGAUCUUGCAAUUAAUACAUACAACUUGAGCAAGUUGAUAUGAACUAGUUUGAAUUUUUUUAAUCAAAGGAAUCUUAUGUAAUCGAAGGCAAUUUGACUUGCUACAUGAGAUAUAGUGAAAAACAUUGAUCUUCUUGUUCAUGAAUUUCUAUUUGAAUACGUCUUCA